rnacentral:rRNA from 1 species
GCACAGUUUCCCUGCCGCAAGGCAGGGGGAUGGGUGCACGGCGCACGGGUGCGUAACACGUGGGCAAUCUGCCCUCCGAUGGGGAAUAACCCCGCGAAAGCGGGGCUAAUUCCGCAUAACAUUCCCUGGACCUCGGUUUGGGGAUUCAAAGCCGUAAGGCGUCGGAGGAGGAGCCCGCGCCCGAUUAGCUAGUUGGUGAGGUAAUGGCUCACCAAGGCAAUGAUCGGUAGCUGGUCUGAGAGGAUGGCCAGCCACACUGGAACUGAGACACGGUCCAGACUCCUACGGGAGGCAGCAGUGGGGAAUCUUGCGCAAUGGGCGAAAGCCUGACGCAGCGACGCCGCGUGGGGGAUGAAGCUUCUCGGAGUGUAAACCCCUUUCGACUGGGACGAAUGCCUCGCAAGAGGAGUGACGGUACCAGUAGAAGAAGCCCCGGCUAACUACGUGCCAGCAGCCGCGGUAAGACGUAGGGGGCCAGCGUUGUUCGGAAUUACUGGGUGUAAAGGGUUCGUAGGCGGUGCGGCAAGUCGGGAGUGAAAUCUCUGGGCUUAACCCAGAGGCUGCUUCCGAAACUGCUGUGCUCGAGUGUGGGAGAGGCGCGUGGAAUUGCAGGUGUAGCGGUGAAAUGCGUAGAUAUCUGCAGGAACACC